rnacentral:rRNA from 1 species
CUUUCUUUGCUGGCGACCGGCGCACGGGUGAGUAACACGUAUCCAACCUGCCCUUUACUCGGGGAUAGCCUUUCGAAAGAAAGAUUAAUACCCGAUAGCAUAAUGAUUCCGCAUGGUUUCAUUAUUAAAGGAUUCCGGUAAAGGAUGGGGAUGCGUUCCAUUAGGUUGUUGGUGGGGUAACGGCCCACCAGCCUUCGAUGGAUAGGGGUUCUGAGAGGAAGGUCCCCCACAUUGGAACUGAGACACGGUCCAA